rnacentral:rRNA from 1 species
CUACGGGGGGCAGCAGGCGAGAAAACUUUGCAAUGUGCGAAAGCACGACAAGGUUAAUCCGAGUGGUUUCUGCUAAAGGAACCUUUUGUCGGUCCUAGAAACACCGAUGAAUAAGGGGUGGGCAAGUUCUGGUGUCAGCCGCCGCGGUAAAACCAGCACCUCAAGUGGUCAGGAUGAUUAUUGGGCCUAAAGCAUCCGUAGCCGGCUCUGUAAGUUUUCGGUUAAAUCUGUAUGCUCAACAUACAGGCUGCCGGGAAUACUGCAUAGCUAGGGAGUGGGAGAGGUAGACGGUACUCGGUAGGAAGGGGUAAAAUCCUUUGAUCUAUUGAUGACCACCUGUGGCGAAGGCGGUCUACCAGAACACGUCCGACGGUGAGGGAUGAAAGCUGGGGGAGCAAACCGGAUUAGAUACCCGUGUAGUC